GAGAGAGAGAGAGAGAGAGGUUUUGCGUUUGGCAGACAACAGCCAGAGAGAUCUCUCAGCUGUGGAAUGGAGGGUACUUUGAAGCUUUUUGACUUUAUGGGUUUCAACUCAAAGAUUCAACAGCAAGAUAAACACAGAAAGGAGCCAGACAAACCCACAAAAGGAGGGCACCAGGGAACGAAAGAAAGAAAACUGAAGAGCAAACAGUUUCUGAGAAGAAACCAGCAGAACCGCAGCCCUUACUGAAAGAGCUAGAAAAACAAGAAAUCCUAAACGUACAGAGGGGGAAGAGAAGAGAAGAGGUUAUUGAGGGUAUUGAAAGGGGAAUUUAUAGAAGAAAAGGGUUAGAGAAGAGUGAAGAGACCAAGAAGAAAAAAAGAAAAGGAAAAAGGUUAAAUGCAUAGGAAUCUCCAAUGGGAGUGGUUGAGAGGGGAGAGGUGAUUAGGCACGUGGGGUUGAGAAGAAAUUUGCACAAGCGUCCAAUUCCAGCUGGUGAGCAGAACACCGCAUAUUAUUCAAAUCAUUACGCAUCUUUCAGUUUCAGGUUUAUUGUCUGUUUUCGUAUCUUGUAAUAAAUAUAUGCAAUUUUUUACCUCACUUUCACUGCUGAGUACCAGAAUUAACCGUUGACGCACAGUUGCUUU
rnacentral:misc_RNA from 1 species